AGAUUAAUCAUUAGCUUUUGGCAAACAAAGAUGGAGCAGUUCGAGACCGAAUGGAGCCGUUCGAGACCGAGCAACCAUGUCACUGCCAACGCUCCUCAACUCCCAAACCCCAAAAACCCUCUCCCCUUUCCCCAUCUCCAACCCUCACUCUCCCUGUCUCUACCCAUUUCGAACCCUAACAUUCUCCCGGAAACUUCCUCCAUUACUCCACAACUCUCUUUCUCCUCUCAAUUCACCCCCAAAACUCCCCCUUUCCUCUCACCAGCGAGAGGACCAGCAACUGGAAGAAGAACACGAAGACGAGGAUCACGUUAUCGGCGAUUGCGUUGUCUUCGAAGAUGGCGUCUUCGACGACCCGUACCUUCAGGAACACUUCAAAUCGACCCCUCCCGAGCCCAGACCCAAGAAAUCCGCCGCGGAAAUCGAGCCCCAGAACUUGGUUCCCGACAAAUGGCGGGAAUCCUUGGUGGCGCUCAACAUUACGAAGAAAGAGAGGCGGAAGAUUGCGCAUGAGAUGGAGUUUGGAAGCCGCGUGAACAGGAAGAAGGGGUUGAUGCCUGUGUGGAAUGUGAGCGUGGAGGAGUAUUUGAAGCACAGGGAGACUAAGCUGGCGCAAUUGAAGCCGCUUGUUCUCGAUAAUCCUAAUUUUCCAGCAAACGAGGAGAAAAGGGAGGCGGAGGUGAAGGAGGAAUGGAGAGAAGGUCGUUUGGCGCCGAAGAAUCCAAGGUGGGCAGUUUACGGUCGUGGUUUGGAUGACGUUUCGGAGUUCUUUAAUAGUGGAAGCUAUGAACCUGGUCAGGGUGCUGUACCUCAAGGCCGUCGUAAGUUGUUCACCAAGGAGGAAAAAAUUCUGCUGAAUAAGCGGAGACCUGAUCUAGCAGCUGCUACAUCUGACAAAUGGUUACCUCUGCACACUCUUGCUGCGUCGGGAGAAUUUUACCUUAUGGAUGCUUUGUUGAAACAUGAUGUUGAUAUCAACGGUGCAGAUAAGGAUGGUUUGACUGCGCUUCACAGAGCAAUAAUUAGCAAAAAACAGGCUAUUACCAACUAUCUUUUGAGGGAAUCGGCAAAUCCUUUUGUUUGUGAUGCAGACGGUGCCUCUCUAAUGCAUUUUGCUGUCCGAGCUGCAUCAGUUCAUGCAAUAAAAAUUCUUCUGUUAUAUAAUGUUGAUAUAAACCGUCAGGACAAUGAUGGGUGGACACCAUUGCAUCUUGCUGUUCAAACACGCCGAACAGAUGUAGUGAGACUUUUGUUAAUUAAAGGAGCUGAUAAGACAUUAAAAAACAAGGAUGGAUUAACCCCACUUGAAUUAUGCCUUUAUUCUGGUCGAGACACGAGAACCUAUGAGCUUAUCAAGCUGAUGAAGCUGGUUCCGAAGCCACGUUAGGUAUUUUCACUGUAAAAUGAGCUAUACAGCUGCUGAAAUGUGCUGGUGGCAACAAAACAAAGCACCGGGUUUACCCUUCUCCUCUUUUACAUAGGAAUCUCCCACCAUCAAUGGUAAAUGUGACCGUGAGAGAAAUGUGGCUUCCAGGCCCUGCUUCUAUGAUCAUGAGGUCCUGGAUUUAGGGGAAUUGAAGCUCAUAGAGAUUGUAGGCUUAUUGUUGAUCCUCUUCAAGGCAAAGCUAUUGCACCUUGAUAACUAUGGAUGUUGAUUUAAAAUCCACAAGUUGUGAUUUCUUCUCCAUGAAGGUCCAAACUACUCAUUUAUUUAUCAAGAAGCAAUCUGGGUUGCAUAUAUGCUAUGGCUAGUAUGAUCGUACAGCCAUCCAUUCUUGUAGAAUAUUUAGGAAGAUAUUCAGGAUGUAAUGCUACUUCAGAGUGUAUAAGUUUUUGUUUUAACGAAAUAUUUGUCACCCAAAAGAAGAAAAAAGGGUUCUAUAGAUGUUGCCCUUCCUCUUC